rnacentral:lncRNA from 1 species
UUAAAGCCUUCUAUCUAUUCUUCAAGUUUCUUUUGUUAUUGGCAAGAUGAACUUGAACAAUGAAGGGGAUACAUGAUUCUAUUUUAGUUUUGCAUCAGCACAGGUUGCAGCACCAAAACCGCAUGCUAGUCACUCUGUGUAAUUCUUUAAUGUAUGCAGAGUAUUGAUAGUAAUGAAUAAGGGCACCCUUUUCUUCUGAUCCGAUCUUUCUCUGUGCACUACCUAAUUUGUCUGGCAGGUGAUUAACCAUCUUAAACCUGAAUACUUAGAAGAUGAAACGGACACCUUCCAGGGUGUGGAUGAUUG